GACGAACGCUGGCGGCAUGCUUAACACAUGCAAGUCGAACGGAAAGGCCCUGCUUUUGUGGGGUGCUCGAGUGGCGAACGGGUGAGUAACACGUGAGUAACCUGCCCUUGACUUUGGGAUAACUUCAGGAAACUGGGGCUAAUACCGGAUAGGAGCUCCUGCUGCGUGGUGGGGGUUGGAAAGUUUCGGCGGUUGGGGAUGGACUCGCGGCUUAUCAGCUUGUUGGUGGGGUAGUGGCUUACCAAGGCUUUGACGGGUAGCCGGCCUGAGAGGGUGACCGGCCACAUUGGGACUGAGAUACGGCCCAGACUCCUACGGGAGGCAGCAGUGGGGAAUAUUGCACAAUGGGCGGAAGCCUGAUGCAGCAACGCCGCGUGCGGGAUGACGGCCUUCGGGUUGUAAACCGCUUUCGCCUGUGACGAAGCGUGAGUGACGGUAAUGGGUAAAGAAGCACCGGCUAACUACGUG
rnacentral:rRNA from 1 species